GCCAAUGUGGUGUAAUGGUUUGAGUGUUAGACUACUACUCUAGAGACCAGGAUUCAAGUCCCAGCUCAGCUG